rnacentral:rRNA from 1 species
GACAGAGGGUGCAAACGUUGUUCGGAAUUACUGGGCGUAAAGCGAGUGUAGGCGGUCUCAUAAGUCAGGUGUGAAAGCCCUGGGCUCAAACCCAGGAAGUGCACUUGAAACUGCGAGGCUAGAGUAUCGGAGAGGUUGGUGGAAUUCUCGGUGUAGAGGUGAAAUGCGUAGAGAUCGGGAGGAACACCAGUGGCGAAGGCGGCUGACCUGACCAGCACUGACACUGAGGCACGAAAGCGUGGGGAGCAAACAGGG